rnacentral:rRNA from 2 species
GCAUGUCUAAGUACAUGCCGAUCCAAGGCGAAACCGCGAAUGGCUCAUUAAAUCAGUUAUGGUUUCUUAGAUCGUACCUUACUACUUGGAUAACUGUGGUAAUUCUAGAGCUAAUACAUGCAGCAGAGCUCCGACCCGCACGGGGACGAGCGCUUUUAUUAGACCAAGACCAACGGCGCCUCGGCGUCAGUCUUGUGGUGACUCUGUAUAACUUUGGGCUGAUCGCACGGGCUAGUCUCGGCGACGCAUCUUUCAAGUGUCUGACUUAUCAACUGUCGAUGGUAGGUUACGCGCCUACCAUGGUCGUAACGGGUAACGGGGAAUCAGGGUUCGAUUCCGGAGAGGGAGCCUGAGAAACGGCUACCACAUCCAAGGAAGGCAGCAGGCGCGCAAAUUACCCACUCCCGGCACGGGGAGGUAGUGACGAAAAAUAACAAUACGAGACUCUUUCGAGACCUCGUAAUUGGAAUGAGUACACUCUAAAUCCUUUAACGAGGAUCCAUUGGAGGGCAAGUCUGGUGCCAGCAGCUGCGGUAAUUCCAGCUCCAAUAGCGUAUAUUAAAGUUGUUGCGGUUAAAAAGCUCGUAGUUGGAUCUCAGUUCCAGACGUGCGGUCCGCCUACCGGUGGUCCCCGCACGGCCUGAACAACCAGCCGGUUUCCCUGGAUGAUCUUCACCGGUUGUCCUGGGUGACCGGCACGUUUACUUUGAAAAAAUUAGAGUGCUCAGAGCAGGCGAGACGCCUGAAUAAUGGUGCAUGGAA